rnacentral:rRNA from 1 species
CACGUAGGGUGCGAGCGUUGUCCGGAAUUAUUGGGCGUAAAGGGUGCGUAGGCGGUGAUGCAAGUCGGUUGUGAAAUUCCGGAGCCUAACUCCGGAACGGCAUUCGAAACUGCAUCGCUCGAGGUCUGGAGAGGUAAUUGGAAUUCUAGGUGUAGCAGUGAAAUGCGUAGAUAUCUAGAGGAACACCAGAGGCGAAAGCGAAUUACUGGACAGAACCUGACGCUGAGGCACGAAAGCUAGGGGAGCAAACGGG